AAAAAUCCUAACAAAAAUUAUAUUAAAUAUAUUAUUAUUAUUAUAAUAUUUUAACUAGAUCUUUCAGGAAGGUUCAUCCUUCCAAAUGAGUGAGUGAUUAACAAGUAACAACUCAUCCUUACAAAAAUUUUAUUAAGGCGAUUUAUAAUCAUAAAAAAACAUAUGAAGAAAUCAAAAUAAUUCAAUAACUAUUAUAUAUAAAUAAAAAUUAAUUAUAAUCCUAUAUAUAUAAUAUAAUUUUUUAUUAAUAUAAAAAUAAAUAAACCGCUUGCUCUUACCUGGAUUCACCCCUACCUUAUUUUAGUAGCAAUAUUUCAUGCCUAACUUUGUUGAAAUUAAUUUUUCAUUUUAUAUAAUUAUUUAUAUUCUAUAACAAUAUUUCAUUAUAGCAACAAAAGAAUAUUGAAACAAACGUGGUAACGGAGAGAGAUUUGGAUAUAUAAUUAGUAGUAUGAUUACAAAAUAUAAAGCGUACGUCCUUCUAAUUCUAACAAAACUUCUAUAAGAUUAAAACCAACUGCCUAAUUAAAUUAAAUCACUCUGCACUGUAUAAACGUAAAAAUUAAACUAAUUAGCAUUAUACGAUAAAACAAGUUUAAAUUUAAUUAUCCCCAACAACUAAGGUACAUGACUUGCCGUAGGGACUCAUCAGUUUGCUUACUCCACUUCUUCUCCCAACGAUAUUUUCCGGUUCGAAUAUUGAAGCCGACUCUUUUGAACUCAGAAGAACCGGCUAGAUAACCGGAGAAUAGCCUGACGUCAGAAAUGUCAGACUUCAACUUCUCACCGUGACCAGAGUGUCCGUUCACGACCGCAACGGUAGUAGCCAUCCAAACGCGGCUCAAAUUCAACAUAGUGUGUUGUUUUGAUAGCAUAUAGUAUAGUUUGAUGAUAAUAAUAUUAAGAGAGGAGAGAGGGUUUUUAUAGGGGAAAAGGAAGGGUAGACAGUUGAGUUAUAAAUGAACGAUGAAUUGAAUUUCGAUAGAUAAAUAAGACUAGUUAAUAGUGAG
rnacentral:lncRNA from 1 species